rnacentral:lncRNA from 1 species
UUGGCUAAAUAUUGGAUACAUUGUAUUAUUCUUUCAAGAACAUUACAUCAGUAUUUUAUAUUGUUUUCUGUUUCCGGUAAAAUCAAUUGUUUAUUCGGCCUCUUUCCCUCAAUUCCUGUAACAGGGUGUGUGUUUUAUUGUGUGUGAUUCUUCAUGAUUAGCAAUUAAAUCUUCCGUUAGUAAAGAAGGAGGUUGCCAUGAUUUCAUCUGACUUGUUCAAACUGUGGAUUUGGCGCUUUUUGUUUCUCUCUGUCACCAGUUUUUCUCCAGGAAUCUCU